CGAGUGGCGGACGGGUGAGUAAUGUCUGGGAAACUGCCUGAUGGAGGGGGAUAACUACUGGAAACGGUAGCUAAUACCGCAUAACGUCGCAAGACCAAAGAGGGGGACCUUAGGGCCUCUUGCCAUCGGAUGUGCCCAGAUGGGAUUAGCUAGUAGGUGGGGUAACGGCUCACCUAGGCGACGAUCCCUAGCUGGUCUGAGAGGAUGACCAGCCACACUGGAACUGAGACACGGUCCAGACUCCUACGGGAGGCAGCAGUGGGGAAUAUUGCACAAUGGGCGCAAGCCUGAUGCAGCCAUGCCGCGUGUAUGAAGAAGGCCUUCGGGUUGUAAAGUACUUUCAGCGGGGAGGAAGGGAGUAAAGUUAAUACCUUUGCUCAUUGACGUUACCCGCAGAAGAAGCACCGGCUAACUCCGUGCCAGCAGCCGCGGUAAUACGGAGGGUGCAAGCGUUAAUCGGAAUUACUGGGCGUAAAGCGCACGCAGGCGGUUUGU
rnacentral:rRNA from 1 species